rnacentral:rRNA from 2 species
ACAAUGCGGGACUAUCAGUCUUGCAAUUGGAUUGAGAACAAUGUACAACUCUUAUCGAUAAGCCAUUGGAGGGCAAGUCUGGUGCCAGCAGCCGCGGUAAUUCCAGCUCCAAUAGCGUAUAUUAACGUUGUUGCAGUUAAAAAGCUCGUAGUUGAAGUGUGGGUGAUCGCUGUUGUGAGACUUCGGUCUCUCGACAGUAAGUCACCCCCUUCCAGUAUCCAGUAGUGGGUAUUCAGUUACUUACUAUUGUGUGUUGGUCAUUUACUGUGAGAAAAUUAGAGUGUUCAAAGCAGGCGUUUGCUUGAAUAGAUUAGCAUGGAAUAAUAAUUGAAGGCUUUCGUGUUCGAUUUGAUUGGUUUGUUCAUGGAAGCAAGGUUAAAAGGAACAGUUGGGGGUAUUCAUAUUCACUAGUUAGAGGUGAAAUUCUCGGAUUUAUGGAAGAUGAAC